GCCUGUUUGGCUCAGUGGAAAGAGCGUGGGCCUUUGGCCUGAAGGGUCACAGGUUCGAUUCCGGUCAAGGGCA
rnacentral:tRNA from 1 species